GUGAAAAUGGCUCCUGGAAAUGCCGCUUUAGAUUAGAGAUCGACGGCUGGAGAGAAUGCAGACCCACCGCCUCACAGAAAUCUCCUCGCUGUCAUGAAGGCUUACAUACAAAUUCUGCACAAACGAACAGAAAGCGGAACCUGGGAAUGAUGGAAAGGCAAAUUGAAUUCAGAUUUGAAUUUUGUAUUUGAUGCCUGUAUACAAUGGGGAUGAGUGCACUGAGAAGCAAUGCACAGAUAGGCAGACGGAUCUCCUGCCCGUGCUCCUAUUUUAAAGACCCAUUCAUUUUGCACCUGAAGGAUGAAUUCUUCCUCCCACUCUCCUCCUUCCUCUCAUCUUCUAUGAUUUGCGUGAUCUUUGCUGCAUACCUUACAAACCACUGUUGACCUUCGCCCAGGGCUUCAAGGCAAUUUCCCAAAUAAAUUUCACCGGAUCGAUAAACUCCCAUUCUGUUUUCUUUCCUAAACUGAGGGAAAGGGGGAAAAAAAUGAGAAAAAGUAAAUGUUUUCUUUUUAGCCAAAUGGAACAGAAAUCCGAGUUUAACAGAGGUACCCAUCUCAGAAUUCUGAGGGUGCACACGGAAGCCCUGUAAUUCAGCUGGUUUGUAUUAUCAUUUUGCUUUCCCUUUCUGAAAAAGUACGCAUUUGGAGCCCUGAAAAAUGGCAUGCACUGUUUUGAACCCCUUGAAAGGUGCCCAUACAAGGCAUCACACAGCUGUCCUUCGUGACUGUUAAAUAUUUAUCAGCAAGGCAAAUUCCUCCAAGGUUACAGCAAGUACAGUCUGCAGUGACCUGCCUCUGUGCUUUCACAAUUAAGCAGCAGACUCCUUCAACAUGUUCAGCAUCUCAUUCAGCUGCGAGAGCUUCGUCCUCUGGAGCCCUGAGAUAGCUCCAUUACUAUGUAGCAACGCUGCGGGUUUCUCUGCAAAGAAGCAGCAGCAUGUGGGAGCUUGAAGUUCUACAGAGAAGAGUGUAAAUUGGCCGCUUCCACGUGAACUCAGCUUGAUGUGCCUGUCUGCUCUGCUUACCAUGAGCUGUCCUCAGCCUGUACCUGGAUCACAUUACUGGCUUCAGCACUGCACCUGCAUGAGGGCAGGUAUUUCUUUUAGGUGCGAUGGAUUGUCUUCAAGCAAUUGAAUUUAUCUCUGCUGACUACAGAGGGAGCUGAGACCGGAUUCCCGGCUUUCUGAGGGUUAGAGUUAGGUGGAAUGAAUCUUUGCUCAAGCAUUCAACCACAGCUCCUUGGCUCGUGCUGUUAGCUUCCUGAAUUCCCAGAUGAGCUCCCCACACCGUUUAGCCAGGCCUGGAACCGCUUAUUUUCUCUGAACUGAUGGGAUGAGAUGCAGCGAGUUCAGCAAAGCCAUCGGCAUUUCAAAAUUAUAUGUGAACACACCAAUUUGCUGCCUUGUUUUUCAAACAGUGCUGUGAACAUGCCUCGUGCUUAAAGCACCCUCUGUAAUGGUGAUCACUUAAAAAAUCCAAU
ensembl:lncRNA